rnacentral:rRNA from 1 species
UACGUAGGGGGGCAAGCGUUGUCCGGAUUUAUUGGGCGUAAAGCGCGUGUAGGUGGCCAAGUAGGUCCGCUGUGAAAACUUGAGGCUCAACCUCAAGCUGUCGGUGGAAACCCCCUUGGCUAGAGUUCGGUAGGGGAGAUCGGAAUUCCUGGUGUAGCGGUGAAAUGCGCAGAUAUCAGGAGGAACACCGGUGGCGAAGGGCGGAAUCUCCGUGGG